rnacentral:rRNA from 1 species
GAUCAUGGCUCAGGAUGAACGCUAGCUACAGGCUUAACACAUGCAAGUCGAGGGGAAACGACAUCGAAAGCUUGCUUUUGAUGGGCGUCGACCGGCGCACGGGUGAGUAACGCGUAUCCAACCUGCCCACCACUUGGGGAUAACCUUGCGAAAGUAAGACUAAUACCCAAUGAUAUCUCUAGAAGACAUCUGAAAGAGAUUAAAGAUUUAUCGGUGAUGGAUGGGGAUGCGUCUGAUUAGCUUGUUGGCGGGUAACGGCCCACCAAGGCAACGAUCAGUAGGGGUUCUGAGAGGAAGGUCCCCCACAUUGGAACUGAGACACGGUCCAAACUCCUACGGGAGGCAGCAGUGAGGAAUAUUGGUCAAUGGGCGAGAGCCUGAACCAGCCAAGUAGCGUGCAGGACGACGGCCCUAUGGGUUGUAAACUGCUUUUAUAAGGGAAUAAAGUGAGUCUCGUGAGACUUUUUGCAUGUACCUUAUGAAUAAGGACCGGCUAAUUCCGUG